UUAGUCAGACUCAACUUGUCAAUUUCAACAAGCUCUGUGUUUAAACAUAUGAUAUGCACACUUUGGAUGGACCUCGGAUGCACUUGAUGUUUUAAGCUUCAAUCUUAAACGUUUUAGUUUGAAGAACAUAAUACAUUGGAAUAUAAAACUGUGUGGAGAGAUGAUAGAGUUGUUGCGAGUUGGAUUUCAUGAUCAUCAUUGCAUUUUUCUUUAUCCCAUUUGCGUGCGACAUAGUUUUCGUCUAGAAUUAACGUUCAUCAUUUUGAAUCUUCAACAUUUCAUCAAGAUGAAAAGAAAUUGUGGAAUAUCUUGCACUGUGAUUUAGUUCCAAAAGGAGCAUGUCUAAAGAACUUUGCCCAACAAUUUGCGCUUCCUUAAUCUUCAAUUUAUUUGUUUAAGACAAAAUCAACGGUGAAUGAAAUGGCAGAGGAAUGUGAACCUCUUGGAGCAUCGGAAUUCAUUAAAGAUCGGUUGUAUUUUGCAACCCUUAGAACCAAACCAAAAACCACAGCAAAUGCGCACUACUUCAGCACAGAUGAUGAAUUUGUCUAUGAGAAGUUAUUGGUGAGGCUAUGUCAUCUGAGGGGAAAUAGCCCUUACACAGCCUGGAGGUAUGGGAUAGUCCAACUAAGAGCAAACAAGAUGGGAUGGAGGACAAUUGCAGGCUCACAAAUGAGUAACACUAAAGAGCUUAUCCUCUUCAGCAAAGGUAUCUCUGGGUCUUCUUUUAUUGGGGCAUUCCUCAUGAAAGCCUAUUUCAUCAUAGUGCUUAUUGGUUUCUGUGACUGCACUUGAAGUAACUUUUGAAGUUCUUGAAAUGUCCUGGGUUAAUUGACCUUCGUCAUCAAGGAAUGCUUAUUUCAGCUGUUAAAAAAAUAUAUAUCUUAACGUUGCAAAACAUUAUAAUGAACUAGAGUAUAUAUUAAACAAUAUAUUUAUUUCAAACGAGUUCAAGAACACACAUUUUAUUUAUCUUCCUUUUUUAAAUUAUUGGGUUACAUAUGGAUAAAUACAGUACAGAUAAAAUUAUGGUCUUCGGCAUACCAGCCCUACCUUCUCACAACACAACUUAGAAGCUCAAAUGCAUUAAGAAUGAAAUAAAUUCCACAAAUUAACUUUUAACCAGGCACACCUGUUAUUUGAAAUGCAUUCCAGGUGACUACUUCAUGAAGCUGAUUGAGAGAAUGCAAAGAGUGCAAAGCUGUCAUCAAGGCAAAAUGUGGCUACUUCGAAGAAUCUACAAAAUGUAGUGUAUUUUGAUCUGUUUAACAGGUUGUUUGUUGCCACAUGAUUCCAUAUGUAUGAUUUCAUACUGUCGAUUUCUUCACUAUUAUUCUACUGUCUGGAAAAAGGAAAACUAAAGAAGUAGACUUUAAUGGGUAGGUGUGUCAAAAACUGGUACUGUAUGGAAUUGUAUGUUUUUAUUAAUGGAGUUGUAUGAUUUCUCUAUCAUUCCCCACUUGUCUAUGGGGAAAGGUAAAUAAGUGUGCAAAAACAGAAGUGGGCUGUAAUCAAAAACAUGGUAGAUAGGAGCCAGAAUCAAAAACUUUAGAUACAUUAUUUUUGUUUGAUCUUCUGGGCUUGUCUUUCA